rnacentral:rRNA from 1 species
GUAGGGGAGCAAGCGUUGUUCGGGAAUUAUUGGGGCGUAAAGAGCGCGUAGGCGGCCAGGUAAGUCUGAUGUGAAAUCCCACAGCUCAACUGUGGAACUGCAUUGGAAACUGCUUGGCUAGAGUGCGGGAGAGGAGAGUGGAAUUCCCAGUGUAGAGGUGAAAUUCGUAGAUAUUGGGAGGAACACCAGUGGCGAAGGCGGCUCUCUGGACCGCAACUGACGCUGAGGCGCGAAAGCUAGGGGAGCGAACGGGAUUAGAUACCCCGGUAGUCCUAGCCGUAAACGAUGGGCACUAGGUGUAGGAGGUAUCGACCCCUUCUGUGCCGUAGCUAACGCAUUAAGUGCCCCGCCUGGGGAGUACGGUCGCAAGACUA